AUUGCUGUGAAAAAAAAACAAGACAUUGACCUAUUGAACAUAGUGUAUUAUUUUUCCUUUUAUGCAAUCUUGGCAUAUUCUUCAAUUCAAAAUAAGAAACCCCAAAAGUAUAUAAUACUUCUUUGGAAAAAUAUGCAAAGGCCAACACAUACAAAGGACAAUGCUAGCUACAGAAAUGCGUCAAAGACUAAUAAUAAUUGACAAAAAUCCAGUAUUUUAACAAUAAUUAAUACCAGGUAAAUUGAUACAUCCUAUUACAGUAUGAAAUUCUGCCAUUUAAUUUCAAGUAAGAACCCUUAUUUCCAUUCUAGUACCUGCUGUCUUAUGCAUGUUUAACACAACAACAACAAUAAUAUAAGUAGUUAGCAUAUAUUAAAGCAUUAACGAACACCAAGCAUUGUUAAAUAUAUUACAUGUAUUUUUGCUUAAUUUUCACAACAUUACUAAUGGUUAAAUAUUAUUACCACAUUUUGUAGGGCAAAAAACUGAGGCUUAGAAACAUUGAAAAAAACUUGCUCAACGUUGCAAAACAAGAAAUUUGUGACACUGGAAUUGACAUCUACAAGGGACUGAUGUAACUAAUUGCUGGAUACAUGUCCCUCAAAGACACAGAAACAGAUCUUGUAUUCUAGUGGAUCUCCGGCACCCAGUGAGGGCCUGAAACAGAGUACAUGUCCAACAAAUAAUUAUUGAAGUAAAGAUUGACAUUUCAGGAGCAGAGAUUAAUAUUCAAAAACAAAGAUGAGAAUUUUGGCAGAAAAGUCAAAAUGAGGUAAAAGUACAUUUCCACCUUAACUUUUUUUAAUUUGCUUAGCUGACAUAAGGAAGAGUUUAUAAUUUGUUUGUUUUUUUUAAUUUUAUUAUUAUUAUACUUUUAAGUUUUAGGGUACAUGUGCACAAUGUGCAGGUUUGUUACACAUGUAUACAUGUGCCAUGCUGGUGUGCUGCACCCAUUAACUCCUCAUUUAGCAUUAGGUAUAUCUCCUAAUGCUAUCCCUCCCCCCUCCCCCCACCCCACAACAGUCCCCAGAGUGUGAUGUUCCCCUUCCUGUGUCCAUGUGUUCUCAUUGUUCAGUUCUCACCUAUGAGUGAGAAUAUGCAGUGUUUGGUUUUUUGUCCUUGCGAUAGUUUACUGAGAAUGAUGAUUUCCAAUUUCAUCCAUGUCCCUACAAAGGACAUGAACUCAUCAUUUUUAUGGCUG
rnacentral:lncRNA from 1 species